CCCUUAGACGUUCUGGGCUGCACGCGCGCUACACUGACACACUCAGCGAGUCUCCUGGUCCGAGAGGAUUGGGUAAUCAUGUGAGCGUGUGUCGUGAUGGGGAUAGAAUAUUGUAAUUAUUACUCUUCAACGAGGGAUUCCUAGUAAGCGCGAGUCAGCAGCUCGCGCUGAUUACGUCCCUGCCCUUUGUACACACCGCCCGUCGCUCCUACCAAUGGGUGAUCCGGUGAAUGACUCGGACUCUGGAAUUAGCUAUUUAUAGCUUUUAUCCGGAGGAAGUUUUGUGAACCUUAUCACUUGGAGGAAGGAGAAGUCGUAACA
rnacentral:rRNA from 1 species